AGACCCGAAACCCGGUGAUCUAGCCAUGGGCAGGUUGAAGGUUGGGUAACACUAACUGGAGGACCGAACCGACUAAUGUUGAAAAAUUAGCGGAUGACCUGUGGCUGGGGGUGAAAGGCCAAUCAAACCGGGAGAUAGCUGGUUCUCCCCGAAAGCUAUUUAGGUAGCGCCUCGUGAAUUCAUCUCCGGGGGUAGAGCACUGUUUCGGCUAGGGGGUCAUCCCGACUUACCAACCCGAUGCAAACUGCGAAUACCGGAGAAUGUUAUCACGGGAGACACACGGCGGGUGCUAACGUCCGUCGUGAAGAGGGAAACAACCCAGACCGCCAGCUAAGGUCCCAAAGUCAUGGUUAAGUGGGAAACGAUGUGGGAAGGCCCAGACAGCCAGGAUGUUGGCUUAGAAGCAGCCAUCAUUUAAAGAAAGCGUAAUAGCUCACUGGUCGAGUCGGCCUGCGCGGAAGAUGUAACGGGGCUAAACCAUGCACCGAAGCUGCGGCAGCGACGCUUAUGCGUUGUUGGGUAGGGGAGCGUUCUGUAAGCCUGUGAAGGUGGCCUGUGAGGGUUGCUGGAGGUAUCAGAAGUGCGAAUGCUGACAUAAGUAACGAUAAAGCGGGUGAAAAGCCCGCUCGCCGGAAGACCAAGGGUUCCUGUCCAACGUUAAUCGGGGCAGGGUGAGUCGACCCCUAAGGCGAGGCCGAAAGGCGUAGUCGAUGGGAAACGGGUUAAUAUUCCCGUACUUGGUGUUACUGCGAAGGGGGGACGGAGAAGGCUAUGUUGGCCGGGCGACGGUUGUCCCGGUUUAAGCGUGUAGGUGUGUGUUCCAGGUAAAUCCGGUUCACUUUAACACUGAGGCGUGAUGACGAGGCACUACGGUGCUGAAGCAACAAAUGCCCUGCUUCCAGGAAAAGCCUCUAAGCAUCAGGUAACAUCAAAUCGUACCCCAAACCGACACAGGUGGUCAGGUAGAGAAUACCAAGGCGCUUGAGAGAACUCGGGUGAAGGAACUAGGCAAAAUGGUGCCGUAACUUCGGGAGAAGGCACGCUGACACGUAGGUGAAGUGAUUUACUCACGGAGCUGAAGUCAGUCGAAGAUACCAGCUGGCUGCAACUGUUUAUUAAAAACACAGCACUGUGCAAACACGAAAGUGGACGUAUACGGUGUGACGCCUGCCCGGUGCCGGAAGGUUAAUUGAUGGGGUCAGCGCAAGCGAAGCUCCUGAUCGAAGCCCCGGUAAACGGCGGCCGUAACUAUAACGGUCCUAAGGUAGCGAAAUUCCUUGUCGGGUAAGUUCCGACCUGCACGAAUGGCGUAAUGAUGGCCAGGCUGUCUCCACCCGAGACUCAGUGAAAUUGAACUCGCUGUGAAGAUGCAGUGUACCCGCGGCAAGACGGAAAGACCCCGUGAACCUUUACUAUAGCUUGACACUGAACAUUGAGCCUUGAUGUGUAGGAUAGGUGGGAGGCUUUGAAGCGUGGACGCCAGUCUGCGUGGAGCCGACCUUGAAAUACCACCCUUUAAUGUUUGAUGUUCUAACGUGGACCCGUGAUCCGGGUUGCGGACAGUGUCUGGUGGGUAGUUUGACUGGGGCGGUCUCCUCCUAAAGAGUAACGGAGGAGCACGAAGGUUGGCUAAUCCUGGUCGGACAUCAGGAGGUUAGUGCAAUGGCAUAAGCCAGCUUGACUGCGAGCGUGACGGCGCGAGCAGGUGCGAAAGCAGGUCAUAGUGAUCCGGUGGUUCUGAAUGGAAGGGCCAUCGCUCAACGGAUAAAAGGUACUCCGGGGAUAACAGGCUGAUACCGCCCAAGAGUUCAUAUCGACGGCGGUGUUUGGCACCUCGAUGUCGGCUCAUCACAUCCUGGGGCUGAAGUAGGUCCCAAGGGUAUGGCUGUUCGCCAUUUAAAGUGGUACGCGAGCUGGGUUUAGAACGUCGUGAGACAGUUCGGUCCCUAUCUGCCGUGGGCGCUGGAGAACUGAGGGGGGCUGCUCCUAGUACGAGAGGACCGGAGUGGACGCAUCACUGGUGUUCGGGUUGUCAUGCCAAUGGCACUGCCCGGUAGCUAAAUGCGGAAGAGAUAAGUGCUGAAAGCAUCUAAGCACGAAACUUGCCCCGAG
rnacentral:rRNA from 2 species